AACAUCUCAAAUCUCUUUGCGCUUGCGCAUAAGAGACUUGGAUUUGAGCGAUCCCGACUCCUUCGACAGAAAGAGGAGGGUCGCUUGAAAUGCAGGUGCAGCUGGACAUUCUUCUGAGCUAAAAGCAUAUCUAUUUAGUCCCGUCAAACGGAUUAUUACUUUUGCUUCAGCUAAUACAAAGGUCGAAUGAACUACCAACGCUGAUUGCAGGAAAACUCGUUUUUUUACUAAAACUUGUAA
rnacentral:misc_RNA from 1 species